rnacentral:rRNA from 1 species
AUUUUACUUUUUAGGUAGUAAAAUUUCAAAACCAUCAUAUUAUGGCGGUCUUUACAAUUUAGAGAAACUCGCUUUAUAAUCGACAAUCCCCGAUAAUUUUCACUUAGUUUAUCACAGCUUAUAUACCGCCGUUACAACUCUUACUUAACAUUAAAGAUUAUCAAUUAUUAUUAAUAAAAAUCAGGUCAAGGUGUAGCCAAUAAUUAAGAAAAAGUAAGUUACAUUAAAAUAACAAUUUAAGGAAGUAAAAAUAAAUUUAAACAGAAAAAGAAUCUAACUGUAAAUAAAAAUUAAAAUUCUUUAUAGAACUUAUUAGUAAAGAUGU